rnacentral:rRNA from 1 species
AACGAACGCUGGCGGCGUGCUUAACACAUGCAAGUCGAACGCGAACGAGUUCUUCGGAACUUUAGUAGAGUGGCGCACGGGUGAGUAACGCGUAAGUAAUCUGUCCCUGCAUCUGGGAUAACUACGGGAAACUGUAGCUAAUACCGGAUACGUUUAUCUAUUUGCGAAUAGAUACAGAAAGGUGGCCUCUUCAUGAAAGCUACUGUGCAAGGAGGAGCUUGCGUACCAUUAGCUAGUUGGUGGGGUAAUGGCCUACCAAGGCAACGAUGGUUAGCGGGUCUGAGAGGAUGAUCCGCCACACUGGAACUGGAACACGGACCAGACUCCUACGGGAGGCAGCAGUGAGGAAUAUUGCGCAAUGGGGGAAACCGCUGACGCAGCGACGCCGCGUGGAUGAUGAAGGCUUUCGGGUCGUAAAAUCCUGUCAGAUGGAAAGAAAUGCUAAUUGGCUAAUACCCUUUUAGUUUGACGGUACCAUCAGAGGAAGCACCGGCUAACUCCGU